ACGACCGGCUAUGUUAUAUGGUAGUGAGUGUUGGGCACUGAAAGAGUCGUAUGCAUCUAAGAUAAGAGUUGCAGAGAUGAGAAUGUUAAGGUGGAUGAGUGGCCAUACUAGACUAGAUAAAGUCCGUAAUGAGAGUAUUAGAGAAAAGGUAGGAGUGGUGCCAAUUGAAGAUAAGUUGAGAGAAGGGAGAUUGAGGUGGUUUAGUCAUGUGAAGCGUAGAUAUACGGAGGCUCCAGUUAGACAAGUAGAGCACAUUAGGUUAGAGGAUAGAAAGGAAAAAAAGGGGUAGACUUAAAUUGACUUGGAGGAGAGUAGUACAACAUGACCUUGAAGCAUUACACAUUUCUGAGGAUUUAACCCAAAAUCGUUCAGAGUGGAGAAAGCGAAUCCAUAUAGCCGACCCCAAAUUUUUGGGAUAAAAGCUUAGUUGAGUUGAGUUGAGUUGUAGUGAAGAUGCAGGCUCAAAAUGCACUCACUUUUUUAUGUUUCCUCUUAGCGAGCAUUUGCAGGAACACCAAGAAUUUCUUAGUAACCCGGUUCCUUAGCUUUGCAAGUUGCUUGAAAAAUUAGAAAAGCAUGAAACCACAAAAUCUGCAGAGAGAAAGAAAGGUGAGACAUGCGGAAUGAAUAUAUCUCCAUUUCCCGGAAUUUUUACAAACGAAUUCCUGUACAGCGAUACGGUAACGUUCUGAGAAAGUAUAAAAGGGCACGAGCCAAAGAAACGUCUGAUUCCUUGAACAAAAAGUGGCAGUAGAAGAAAAUAGAGCCUCCUGAGCAAAAAUAAAAAAUAGCUUUCCUUUGCAUGGCGAUUUCCUUUGUAGUUUGGUUAAAUAAGUAGUUUCGAAUUCUGUGAAUGAUGCGUUAUGUAAGCGCCGAAGUUGGCUUCAAUUCGAAGACAGAAAUCUCUAGAUGUUCAUAUCCUCACGGGCUUCGAAGAUAUAUAUUAAUACAAAUGGCAACCUCAAAAGUUAGAUUUUGAGACUGAAAUUGCCUGGAGAAAGCGCAGCCUCCGUACUUGAGAAUUGGGUCGUUAGUGGCCGCAAGGUUACACUCUCCCAGCUCAGAUACAUCUCUGGAAUGCUCCCAAAAUCUACACGAUGCAAGCACGCACGCACUUGAGGUUCCUCCAAUUAUUUCUUUCUUUUAACCUUAACAAAUUCACUGUUAGUUUCUUGUUUUCCAUUUCAAUAUUGUUUUACGGCCCAGUUUACCCUUCUUUAUGUGGGAAUGUUUUGCUUUUGUUUUGUUUCUCUGUGGAAUUGUCAUUCAUACUCUUGUGAAAUUGCACAAUUAUGUGGUUAGAGAGAGGAGUGAGUUAACAAUUUGUGGAAAGGUACACAUUUAGAUAUUGAAGAAGGAAAAAAAAAAUCUGCAUCUUUAUCUAAAUAUAGCUCUUGGCAAUUCAGAUUU